GAUAUACUCCCUCCGUCCCAUAUUAAAUGACUUUCUAUUACAUGUAUCUAGACGCUUUUUAGAUAUAAAUACGUCCAUAUUUCGGCAAAUUUGAGUCAUUUAAUAUGAGACGGAUGGGGUAUAUU
rnacentral:pre_miRNA from 1 species